rnacentral:rRNA from 1 species
UGAUUAUAAGCGCCAGCUUGACUCAGUUAAAGAAAAGAGAGCCGGCCAACCCGGUGCCAGCCGCCGCGGCUACACCGCCGGGCUCAAGUUGAUAUAUACCGGCGUUAAGCGUGAUUAAAGAAAGCUAAAAUUAGGGUUAAAUUUGAACCCGGCCGUGAAAAGCUUGUUCAACAGAAGUACAUAAACGAAAGUUACCCUAAUUAUUAUUCUUGACUACACGACAGUUUAGAAACAAACUGGGAUUAGAUACCCCACUAUGCCAAACCGUAAAUUUAACCCACACAUAUAACGCCAGGGUACUACGAGCUUUAGCUUAAAACCCAAAGGACUUGACGGUGUCCAACCCAACUAGAGGAGCCUGUUCUAUAAUCGAUAAUCCACGAUAUACCUAACCAUUUUUUGCCACUCAGCCCGUAUACCUCCGUCGUAAGCUUACCGUAUGAACGCACAACAGUGAGCCCAAUGGCUUCACGCCAUAACGUCAGGUCAAGGUGCAGCUCAUGAAAUGGAAGCAAUGGGCUACAAUUUCUAAUUUAGAACAAACGAAACACUACAUGAAACACGGUCAUGAAGGAGGAUUUAGAAGUAAGUGGGGAAUAGAGAGCCCCACUAAACUCGGCCCUAGGACAUGUACAAACCGCCCGUCACCCUCUUCAACAGCC